UCACACACACACACACACAUGCAGGCACAAGCAGAUUCUACUACAAAUACCUGUCUUCUGCUAUAGGACCAUACUCUCACCUGACAUCAUACUCAGUCCAGUCAACAUUGCUCGGGAAGAUGUGGCUUCUUCUAGUCUGACACAGAAUAAUGAAUACGUGCAGAACCCAGUAACCUCAAGGGCCUCAACAAAGUCUGAGGUCUGAAUCAAUCGAGACGCAUCAGGUUGCAAGAAAUGCCACACAACCUCCUUUGUUGGUGAGAGGCUUGGCCACCACCCACACAUUUCCACAGGAUAGGAUGUGUUCAGGUGAGCAGCUGACCCCAGGUGCUUAUGAUCCCUGCAGCAAACUCUGUUCAUCACAGAAAUGUUGUUCAAAGCACAGGAACCCUCAAUUCAUCGGUGAGUAGGGGAGAGCAAUGGUUUAGCAAAUUGAGUAUUUUUGUUUCAGCACUUCAGAGUUGCUGGAUAUCUUGCUCAAAUUUAUUGCUCCUAGCUAGUAGAGUACACUAAAUACAAAUAAAUUUUUCUUUCUUUUUCUUUUUUCUUUUUUUUUGAGACAGGGU